rnacentral:tRNA from 1 species
ACCUGGUUGGCUCAGUGGUUGAGCAUCUGCCUUUGGCUCAGGUGGUGAUUACGGGAUCCUGGGAUCAAGUCCCACAUCAGGCU